rnacentral:rRNA from 1 species
UCUCCAAGGGAAACCAUAAGUUUUUCGGUUACGGGGAGAGUAUGGUCGCAAGGCUGAAAUUUAAAGGAAUUGACGGAAGGGCACCACCAGGGGUGGAACCUGCGGCUUAAUUUGACUCAACACGGGGAAACUUACAUGGUCCAGACAUCGAUAGGAUAAACAGACUGAUAGAUCUUUUUUGAUGCGGUGAGUGGUGGUGCAUGGCCGUUCCUAGUUCGUGGAGUGAUCUGUCAGGUUUAUUCCGGUAACGAACGAGACUACAACCUUCAUUUAAGAGGCAAAAGCAGGUUUCGCGAUUGACUAUAUUUCGGUGUAGUUUUUCGUGUCUCUUUAAGAAGAAUAUUCAAGUUCUCAAUUGGUUGGGCUAGCAGGCAACUGUGAACUCAAUCCGUUGUGGAAUGCGGGUAUUUUCUCUUUUGUCAAGCAGUCAUUGGGCAACCUUUGGCUGACUUAUGGAGGGACUGCUGGUGUUACAAAACCAGAGGAAGUGUGGCGCUAAC